AUUGAACGCUGGCGGCAGGCCUAACACAUGCAAGUCGAGCGGAAGAAGGGAGCUUGCUCCUGGAUUCAGCGGCGGACGGGUGAGUAAUGCCUCGGAAUCUGCCUGGUAGUGGGGGAUAACGUCCGGAAACGGGCGCUAAUACCGCAUACGUCCUGAGGGAGAAAGUGGGGGAUCUUCGGACCUCACGCUAUCAGAUGAGCCCAGGUCGGAUUAGCUAGUUGGUGGGGUAAAGGCCUACCAAGGCGACGAUCCGUAACUGGUCCGAGAGGAUGAUCAGUCACACUGAAACUGAGACACGAACCAGCCUCCUAAGGCAGGCGCAAGGGGGGAAUAUUGGGCAGUGGGGCAAAGCCUGUUCGCGCCAUGCCGGGUGUGUGAAGAAGCUCUUCGGAUUGUAAAGCCUUUUAAGUUGGGAGGAAGGGGAGUAUGUAAAUACCUUGCUGAUUUGACGUUACCAACAGAGUAGGCAGCGGCUAACAUCGU
rnacentral:rRNA from 1 species